ACGUGAGCAACCUGCCCCCCACUUCGGGAUAAGCCUUGGAAACGAGGUCUAAUACCGGAUACGAGCACCUACCGCAUGGUAGGUGUUGGAAAGUUUUUCGGUGGGGGAUGGGCUCGCGGCCUAUCAGCUUGUUGGUGGGGUAAUGGCCUACCAAGGCGUCGACGGGUAGCCGGCCUGAGAGGGCGACCGGCCACACUGGGACUGAGACACGGCCCAGACUCCUACGGGAGGCAGCAGUGGGGAAUAUUGCACAAUGGGCGAAAGCCUGAUGCAGCGACGCCACGUGAGGGAUGACGGCCUUCGGGUUGUAAACCUCUUUCAGCAGGGAAGAAGCGAAAGUGACGGUACCUGCAGAAGAAGCGCCGGCUAACUACGUGCCAGCAGCCGCGGUAAUACGUAGGGCGCAAGCGUUGUCCGGAAUUAUUGGGCGUAAAGAGCUCGUAGGCGGUCUGUCGCGUCUGGUGUGAAAUCCCAUGGCUCAACUGUGGGCUUGCAUCGGGUACGGGCAGACUAGAGUGCUGUAGGGGAGACUGGAAUUCCUGGUGUAGCGGUGGAAUGCGCAGAUAUCAGGAGGAACACCGAUGGCGAAGGCAGGUCUCUGGGCAGUUACUGACGCUGAGG
rnacentral:rRNA from 1 species